AGUCUCAUGGUGUAACGGUUAGCACUCUGGACUCUGAAUCCAGUAAUCCGAGUUCAAAUCUCGGUGAGACCU
rnacentral:tRNA from 1 species